AUACUGCUAGGAGAAGGUGUGAGUAGUUGUGCUGGAGUGAAAUGCUGGUGUGGAAAAGAAGAAUGUAAUGAAGCUUACUUCAAAUAUCCUGAGGAGCGUGAGGAGGGCGAGCCUCAGCCAUCCCUUCUGUGGAGCUCAGCCUGCCUGCAGCCCCUGCUUUGACUGAUGUCUGCAGAGUCCACUGAAGGUGCCAGCACACAGCCCCAACCACAGAGGAGUGAGGUCACCCUGCAGGACCCCAGUUCCCCCUUCUGAAGGCUGCGUUCACUUAUGAAGUUCCUCAUCUCUGCUUGGUUCCAGUGCCUCUCCUCUGAGGCUCCGUGCCCUAUGGUCCCCACAUCCCUCCCGCUUCCUUCUGCUGUGGCCAUUGCUGAGGGUCAACUCAUCCUUCAUGGGAAGUGUUGUGUGCCAUCCCCUCUGUGCUUGUGGCUUCUUGAGGGGGGAAGAGACAGCUAACAGGACAGGAAUCGUGCGUGUGAGCGUGGGGAUGAUUUCUUCCUCCCACUUGGAGGAUGAGGGUUUUCUUUGGGACUCUCACUGCUUUGGGGAGAUAAGGCUGAAGUGCCUUGUGGAGGCUGGGGAGGAACUGAGGACCUGCACUAAUGCUUCUAGGAUUAGGAACAGAUUAAAUGAUGGAGUCAAGGGCAUAGAUGGGGGGGACAGUUUUCCACGUAGCCUGCUCAGAGCCUCUGAAGGAAGCUGGCACGGACAGUUUCAGUCUUUCAUCUCCCUGCUUGGUUGGUUGCCUUUACUUCAGAAGUUACAGCACGGAGUUACUGUAACGUGUUUGCUACAGAGGACCUGCAAGUUCAGAGAGCUGGAUUCCUUCUUUGUCCACCGCCCCUCCACUAUUGUGCAGCUGCUCUUGGCACACCUCUGUAUCUGAGCUGCUGCGUGGUACCAGUGGUGAACUCUGAUGGCCUUCUGUGGACAAAAUCAUGCUUUGCUUUAAGCAAAUGGAAAAGAUGGGAACACUGCCGCUUAUUAGGAGUUUUUCCCCUUAAAGAAUGUAUUUUAACUGUCGAGAUGCAGUGUUCAUUACUGCGGGCAAAAUGAAAUCUGCGCACAUUGAAUUGCCUCUGGCUAGCAGAUACAUUUCUAGGGUACACAAUGUUUUAAGCAGGUAGCACAGAACAAGUCUGCAGGCCAAUCUGUUUGUCACUAAUCAAGUAUUCACAGAAUGCUGCCAGCAAAAUAAUUCUAACAGAGAAGUCACCUGCCAGUCACCGAGAAGCAUGCAGGCAAAUUUUAAAAAGUGAUCCCUGCAGCGAGAUAUUUGUCAUGCAAGUACAAAUAAACUCAGACUGAGCUCGCAGGAAAGAUCUCCGCGCUGAGAAGUCCAUCAGUUGAGGGUGUUUCUUAACAAGGUGAUGGAUUCGAUGUCUGAGAAUCUGGCUUGUAAAGAAUUUGAGUUUCAGAUGGCCCCAAAUCUGAGUUUGGUCAAGGUAAGCGUUUAGUUUCAUUUUGCCGUCUGCAGUGUGGGCUUGGUGAGAAACGCUCCUUUUCUGUACAGAGCUGUAAGAUUUUUGCAGAGGUGUUAACAAAUACUCCUGAGUUGGAGGGCCCAGCCGUCAAUAAUGGCUUCUUUCACACCUCCCAAGGGCUUCCUUUGAAAUCUGUGGCACAAUACCGAACAACAGAGGCCAAUCUUGCUGUAGUGUGUGGUCCCUUCAAAAGUGCAAGUCUUCCUCCAUUGUUACGGGCCUAUUUUUAGCUGUGUUAGCACCGCUCUGU